AUAAGUGAUGGAGUGCUCCCUCAUGGGCUAGUGCUCCCUCAUCAGGGCUCCUAUGGCCAACCAUAUUGGUCCACAUCAUUCAUCUCCCUCUUCCUCCCCACCUCCACAAGGAGCGUUGACAGAUAUCUUCCUGCUAAAUCAGGGAAGGGAUAAGGUGGAGGAGGAUGUUGAUCUCCAAUUGCUCCUUCUCCCCCUGCUCGCCUCCAGCCUCAUGGAUUCACCAAACAAAAACUGUUAGCUGCAAUUUGGCUUGUUCUUGAAGACAGAGACCAAACAGCUUCCUUGAACUCCACACUGGAAUCAUUCAAACAUGAAAGGGGGACACGGAUUCAAUCCUUGGUCCAGGAAGAUCUCACCUACCUCGGGGCAACUGAGACCGUGCACCACCCUGAGCCCAUGUGCUCUAGACUCUGCACUCCGCAACAAGAGGAGCUAUGGCAAUGAGAAGCCCAGGCACCGAAACGAAGUAUAGCCCCUGGCUUGCUGCAACUAGAGAAAAGUCCGUGCAAACAGCAACAAAGACCCAGUACAGCCAAAAGUUAAAAAUCCAGUUGUGAAUGAAGUGUGUGUGCAUACUUGUGGGUGUGUA